GGAUUAGAUUAGACCAGCGGUUCUCAGCGGGGGCAGAGGGUGUUACUGGGAUCUAGUGGAGGCUGCUAAGUGUCCAGCCGUGCACAAGACAGCUUCUCUGACAAAAAGAACUGUACAUCCAAAAUGCCAGUAGAGCUGAGGUUGAAACCCCAUGUUAGACUAACUUGAGUGAUCUGGACUGUCUGCCUCCAGAGACCCUCAACAGAGCCUUAUUUCUUUUUUAAGCCAUUUUACGUAUUUAUUUAUUUAAUACUCACCUGAGGGCAUGCUCAUUAAUCUUUAGAGAGAAAGGAAGGGAAGGAAAGAGAGAGGGAGAGAGACAUUGAUUAGUUGCUUAUUGUACCCACCCCGAGCAGGGACCAAACCCACAACCUAGGCAUGUACCCUGACCAAGAAUAAAACCUGCAACUUUUCGGUUUAUGGGACCACAUUCCAACCCACUGAGCCAGAAGGCCAGGGUGAUCGGAUCUAUUUUUAGCUAGGAUUUUUAUUGCAGCAAGAUUAUAGUCCUGGCUAUUUUAAGUAGCUCUCAGGGCAGAUCCAUAAUCCUCUAUCUUAAAAAACUGAAAGCCACACUCUUGCGCUGCAGGAUCAUUUUGCACACAGAGAUAAGAGAAAGAGAAACGAUCUUGUGUGUUGGCCCCCAGUAGGCUUGCUGAAAGGGGUAAUCCACACUUGACCGAUACUAGAAAGACACCAGAGUAUAUACCCCACGGUCUGCUGUGAGACACGUGGUGCUGAGGAGGCCCUGCCUUAAUAAGGGUAGGGUUGCCUGUGUCGGGUCUGGGACGCUGUGUACAUCGAGCCCUAGGUACGGUCUGUUUUUGCCCUUGAGGGAAAGUACAUUGUAAUAAAGUAGACAAGAUUGAAUGAGCGUUCUCGCCAGGGAAGUAAAGCAGAAUUUGGGAAAAACAAAAAAAUCCCGUCAUUUCCGUGAACUGUGGGACUGGCGGGAGCUGAGUCCGUGAUGAUGGAAAGUUAUCCCUGUCUGAAGGCAGAGAAAGGCCUUUCGGUGUGGAACUUGGAUGUCUGAGACUCGGUUUCCCAGGGACAGUCACAGCCUUGGUUUCUGAGGCUGAAACGGACCCUCCAGAAGAAGACACGAACCAGCAAUGUCUGCCGUGGGAGACCCAGAGCGGAGCUGCUUUGCCGGAAGCAAGGGAAGCAGCCCCUCUCCUGUUGUUUGCGCGUCCCGCGGCGCCGCACAGGGUCAGCACAGCCCACGGGCCAAGCGCUCGUGCCUCGACGGCGAUCCCCCCCAAAGGAGAAUCAUUUCAGAGUUCUCUGGACCUCGUCUUCGAAAGUAGCCAAAUAAUUUGGGCGACAGGGAGUUUAUCCUGGAAAAUCUUGGGCAGCUACUGAAGUUGAGGCCUAACCGAGAACCAGCGGGACACCACAGCCCGGGCGACCGGGCCGCACUGGGGCACCGGGGGCCUGCAGUCACGGCACAUUGAAGACGAUUCGUGUGGACGCGCCCCUCUGGGGAACAGGUGCGCGGCCUAGGGACGCCUCUCCGUGGGUUCCUGUUUAAGUCAGUGUGUCUUGGGCUAAAAUCUUGG